rnacentral:rRNA from 1 species
GAUGAACGCUGGCGGCGUGCCUAAUACAUGCAAGUCGAGCGAACGGACGAGAAGCUUGCUUCUCUGAUGUUAGCGGCGGACGGGUGAGUAAUAGGUGGCUAACCGAUCUAUAAGACUGGGAUAACGUCGGGAAACCGGAGAUCAUAUCGGAUGAUAUGUUGAACGGCAUGGUUCAACGGUGAAAGACGGUCUUGAUGUGACUUAUAGAUAGAUCCGCGCUGCAUUAGCUAGUUGGUAAGGUAACGGCUUACCAAGGCAACGAUGCAUAGCCGACCUGAGAGGGUGAUCGGCCACACUGGAACUGAGACACGGUCCAGACUCCUACGGGAGGCAGCAGUAGGGAAUCUUCCGCAAUGGGCGAAAGCCUGACGGAGCAACGCCGCGUGAGUGAUGAAGGUCUUCGGAUCGUAAAACUCUGUUAUUAGGGAAGAACAUAUGUGUAAGUAACUGUGCACAUCUUGACGGUACCUAAUCAGAAAGCCACGGCUAACUACGUG